GACGAACGCUGGCGGCGUGCUUAACACAUGCAAGUCGAACGGACAGGCCCUGAUCUUGCGGGGUGCUCGAGUGGCGAACGGGUGAGUAACACGCGUGUAACAUGUCCUUGUCUUUGGGAUAUCAUCUGGAAACUGGGGCUAAUAUCGGAUAGGAGCUCUUGCUGCAUGGUGGGGGUUGGUAAGAUUCGGCGGUUGGGGCUGGACUCGCGGGUUCCCAGCUUGUUGGUGGGGUAGUGGCUUACCAAGGCUUUGAAGGAUAGGCGGCCUGGGAGGGUGACCGGCCACAAUGGGACUGAGGUACGGCGCAGUCGCCAACGGGAGGCAGCAGUGGGGAAUAUGACACAGUAGGCGGAAGCCUGAUACGGCAACGCCGCGUGCGUGAUGACGUCUUACGGGGUGUAAACCGCUUUCUCCUGUGACGAAGCGUGAGUGACGGUAAUGAGUAAAGAAGCACCGGCUAACUACGUG
rnacentral:rRNA from 1 species